GUGGGGAAUAUUGGACAAUGGGGGGAACCCUGAUCCAGCCAUGCCGCGUGUGUGAAGAAGGCCUUUUGGUUGUAAAGCACUUUAAGCGAGGAGGAGGCUACCGAGAUUAAUACUCUUGGAUAGUGGACGUUACUCGCAGAAUAAGCACCGGCUAACUCUGUGCCAGCAGCCGCGGUAAUACAGAGGGUGCAAGCGUUAAUCGGAUUUACUGGGCGUAAAGCGCGCGUAGGUGGCCAAUUAAGUCAAAUGUGAAAUCCCCGAGCUUAGCUUGGGAAUUGCAUUCGAUACUGGUUGGCUAGAGUAUGGGAGAGGAUGGUAGAAUUCCAGGUGUAGCGGUGAAAUGCGUAGAGAUCUGGAGGAAUACCGAUGGCGAAGGCAGCCAUCUGGCCUAAUACUGACACUGAGGUGCGAAAGCAUGGGGAGCAAACAGGAUUAGAAACCCGAGUAGUCC
rnacentral:rRNA from 1 species